rnacentral:rRNA from 1 species
UACGUAGGGGGCAAGCGUUGUCCGGAAUCAUUGGGCGUAAAGAGCGCGUAGGCGGCCCUGUAAGUCCGCUGUGAAAGUCAAGGGCUCAACCCUUGAAUGCCGGUGGAUACUGCAGGGCUAGAGUCCGGAAGAGGCGAGUGGAAUUCCUGGUGUAGCGGUGAAAUGCGUAGAUAUCUGGAGGAACACCGGUGGCGAAGGCGGCAUCCUGGACCGACACUGACGCUGAGGAGCGAAAGCCAGGGGAGCAAACGGG